AUCUGAGGCCAGAUGCAGCACCUUGUUGUGCCUCUUCCGUGAAAUUGGAUGCUCUGGCACACAAAAGGGAAGGGGAAAUGCAGUGGUGACUGAAUUCUAAUGAUUCUCACUGACCCAGCACUCUUCAUCAGUAGAAUAAUGUAACAGUCUAUUAAAUGCUGGGGACAGAAGCAGCUGCGGAACAUGGUCCUGCAGGGGAUGCAGACAGGUGAAUCUACUCGACUCCUGGUGCAAGUGAAUGGGGGCAGAGGAAGGAAAGUAAUUUAACACCACAGCAGUGAAGCCAGGCUCAGGAGAUCGCUUUCCUCAGGGAUACCAGAUGGCCAUAAUGAGUCCAAAGACAGCUCUCCGAGAGAAGGAGAACCCACCUGAGCUACACAGGAAUUUUGGUCUCUCACAAAGAGGAAGAAAGGUUUUCUUCUCUCUUCUCCUGCCUUGUUCCUUAAGUUCCUCCCAUGCCUUUCCAGGAAAACAAAGGCUUUUCUGAAACAGUGUCCUCACUUUGCAAGAGCUGGUUACCACCAGAUUCCCAGAAAACAAUGACAGGAGUAGUGGGUUUUAAACAUGUUUUCACUUGCACAUCCUAAACAUUCUCCAGUGAGUAUGGAAAACUCUUUAGAAGUGUCGCAAGCGUGCACAGCGUAAAUGAGAGCAAAUCCAUCUAUGACAUUUCCCAACCUCUUAUAAAUAGUCUAUUUAUAAGAUUCUAGGUUUUUUCAAGCAACAGCUAGAAAACCAAGGAGAUGUUAUAAUACCUCCCUGUUUCAUCUUUGACAAUAAUAGCUGUGGAUUGAGUGUUCUGAUUUCCUGAACUACAUCACUUCUUGCUUAAAACAGUGGCUUCUUAAAAGUGGUUAUUAAAAUGCUAUUGUAACUGAUAUUCAUGUGUUAUAUCCUGGCUAUAUUUAAGUGAUUUCAGGUCUUCCUUUUUGCCUGGAAGCACAUUUUUGUCAUAGUGUUGAGAUAGAGACUGAAACCAUGUAGUGGUAGUAAUGAAAAUGAGGAUACUGCUAAAUGACUAAAAUGUCGCUACUUGUUUGUCUUGAAAUAUGAAAAAAAUCUCAGUUUUAUAACUUGGUGAGAAGAGCACCUGUGUUGUCAGAGGAUGCAGCUGAUGCUGGGAAAAAUAUUUUUGAAUGAGAUCUUGUUUUGAAAAUUAAGGUAUAAACUAAUGUAAGUAAUCUCUUGGACUUUUAACUAUGCUAAAAAUGUAAAUAGAUUAUUCAAUGCCUAUCCUGUGAAGUAUUUUUUUAAUGUUAGCUGUGUUUCUAUGCUCUUUUGCCACAAGUGAAAUAGUGAUUAUGUAAACAUGUAAAUUAUCCUUUGGGGUCUUUUACUAAUUAAUGCAGAUGGUUGGUUUUGCUUAGAUAUGAGUGGUUUCUUAUUUUAGGGAAAGUACAUAUUCCUCGUGGAUGGGGAAAUCUGGCAUGUCUCAUGUGAAGGAAAAGCCCAGGUCCAUGCUUUAAAGGGCAGAAAAGAAGAGAAAUCAAGUAGCUAGAAAACUUUUAUGUGUUCCUGCAAGACUCGAGGACAUCCUGGCACAUCCUCUGAGAAAGAUUCAUGAGUUGUGUUGCAAACCGGCACCGGUUUGGAUUUGGUCCUGUGCAAAACCUGUUUGACGCUUAGGAAACCUUCAAGAGACUGAAAUCUUCCAACAAAUACUAGACCUCACUUCAGAUCUCAUCUGCCUCAUCAGAACGUUGUUUUUGCAUAAAGUUUUCCUUCAAAUCUGUGGAAGUUGUGACUAUAACAUAUCUGCUGAUGUAGGUCUUCUUGACAUGGUCUUACCUUACUAUUUUAUUCAAUACUCUCCUGCUGGGUUUUUUGAUGUGGGAUUUUGAAGGACUAGAUGAGAAAGAUUUCGGAGGCUCUUUUUUUUUUUCUAGUAUCAACUAAACUAAAAAUCAUUGAGUCUACUGUGGCUUUGAAAUUUUGCUUCGCAAAAUUAUGUUUGGAAACCAGGUUUGAAAACUGCCAAUUCUGCAUGGCUACAGCAAAAAAAAAAAAAAAAAAUUCUUACAGUUCUGCUUCAGGACUUUCAUUUUGCAGCAGCAAUCUAGGAAGUAGGUUUUGACACUUCCUACACUUUAAUCUGUGUUUUCACUUGCUCAGUUUACAGAACAAAUGCUUCUUGUAAUACAUACAGAAAUAAAAAUGCACACUUGCCAUUAUUCACUUCACUCAAGACAGCCUGAGACUGAUUAGUUCUAAACUGUUUUAAACAGUUGUGUUUUGUUUAAACUGGAGAGAGCUGUUGAAGACUUGCUCUGCUGUAUUUUUCCACAGAGUUUUUCUGCUGUGAGACAGGAAUACUUGAUGGUCUGACUCAGAAUUUGAAUAUUUUAUCCCAUGACAUUAGAAGCAAAGGUGAAGGUAUUAGUGAGCAGAGCUUUGUUUUAGGGCAAAGGGCAACAUAUCAAGACAUUACCUAACAAAUAAAAAUGGAAUCUUUCACCUUAUUUGUAAAAGAAAAUUGUGAAGAUUUACUUUUUAGAAUGAUUGUAACACACAUGUAGUGCUGUUUUAUGUCUCCAGCAAAGUAUAACAGAUGGACUGUGGGUUUAUUGGGAAAAAAAAGUGCGCUGAAAGAUUUUUAUUAUGUGAGAAAGAGAGAACAAAACCCAAGGAAACAU